GCUUACGGACAUACCACCCUGAGAACGCCCGAUCUCGUCUGAUCUCGGAAGCUAAGCAGGGUCGGGCCUGGUUAGUACUUGGUUGGGAGACUGCCUGGGAAUACCAGGUGCUGUAAGCU
rnacentral:rRNA from 1 species